GAAACCGGAGCUAAUACCGGAUAAUAUAUUUAACCGCAUGGUUCAAUAGUGAAAGACGGUUUUGCUGUCACUUAUAGAUGGAUCCGCGCCGCAUUAGCUAGUUGGUAAGGUAACGGCUUACCAAGGCGACGAUGCGUAGCCGACCUGAGAGGGUGAUCGGCCACACUGGAACUGAGACACGGUCCAG
rnacentral:rRNA from 1 species